CGACGAUACGCACAAAAAAUACGAAAUGUUUACGUUUUAAUGAUAUUUCCUUAGUAUAUUAUUAUUUAGGAAUAGUACCGUUAUUACGAAUAAACUGAUAAAUCUUUAUUUUUAUUACGGAUUAAAUGGUUUUCCGAUCGAUGCGUUAUUUUCCGUUCAUCGGAUGGAAGAGCUAUUGUUAUACAAACAAAACAGGUUGACUGUGGCGUUAUUAUUGAACAAUG